CGGCGGCGGCAGCAACAGCAGCAGCGGCAGCGGCAGCGGCAGCAGGCAGUGAAGUCCCAGCGCAGCCGGCGCCUCCAGCCCAGGGGGGCUCUAGGAGCUGUCCUCGGCGAUUGUGCUCCUUCUUUCCAAAGCCCAAACGACUCCUGCGGGGGUCCUCGCCCGUCUCACUCCUCUCCGGGCAGCCUGGAGUGUCCACGAGCCUUGCCCAGCCCACCCAGCCGGUGCAACCCGUCCGAGCGAGCGCAGCCGAGCCCAGUUCUCCUCAGCUCCGGCUCGGGUUUAGGCUGGGGCUCAAGCAGCUCAGCCCUCUGCCCAGCUCCUGGCUCUCGGCUUCUGCCCGACUGGAACAAACUCAACUGGGGAGGAGGAAAGUGGGACAGGCAAUCUGGGGAAAGAGGCUGCUGCUUCCCUCUAUCUCUCUCCCUCCCUCUCUCCUUUUUCUUUCUUCCUUCUUCUCUCUCUUCUUCUCCCCCACCUUCCUUCCUUCCUCUCCUCCGCUCUCUCUCUUGCCUCCACCGCCGCCGGCCCGGCUCCCUAGCUAGGAAGACUCCCAGCAAAGUGAUGCUGUUGCCUCGAGAAGCGGUUGGGAAUAGCGCCCCCGCCCAUCCCUGGGAGGAGGGGGCCCAGGGACACUCCGCCCAGCUCCUGCCUGCUGCUGCCUCCUUAUCUCCCUCCCUCCCUCCCUCUCUCCGCAAAGCCCGGCUUGGAAGAGGAGGGAAGAUCUGGCCCAGUGCCGUUCGGUCCCCUAGCCUUUGCUUCUGCCUCUGGGGAGGCCAGAGGCUCGCUCCUGGCCGCAGCGCUGGGGUGUGCCGAGGUGCGCUGCGCGGGGCGCAAAGGUGCGGGCUUCCGGGCGCGGCGUCGCGCCGAGCUCUCGGAGUGUCAGAGUCAGCGCCUGCGUUCCUACUAGGGACGCAAUCUGGGAAUCCCAAGUGGACUUCAGGGCAAGGUUAGGGUUUGAGGCCGGGCGAAAUGGUGAGGGAUGAAGCUGGGUGGGCUUUGGAACGAGGCAAAACAGAAGGGGAGGAAGUGGGAGAGUGGUACGAUCCGAGAUUGAGCUUGUCUGGUGCCGUUGUCCCCCGAUCCCCAAAACAGAAUGUCUUCUCCUUGGUCCUUCUCUCCCUUGGAGCUUCAACUUUCGGGCACUCGUUCAAGGAAAUCAGCCCCGAUGGACCAGGCUGAGACACCUGAAGGCACAGAGUGGAAAAGGUUACCCAGGGUCCUGAUCUGUGCCCUUCUGAUCCCGAAGAGUCUCGUGUCC
rnacentral:lncRNA from 1 species